rnacentral:rRNA from 1 species
GACGAACGCUGGCGGCGUGCUUAACACAUGCAAGUCGAACGGAAAGGCCCUGCUUUUGUGGGGUGCUCGAGUGGCGAACGGGUGAGUAACACGUGAGUAACCUGCCCUUGACUUUGGGAUAACUUCAGGAAACUGGGGCUAAUACCGGAUAGGAGCUCCUGCUGCAUGGUGGGGGUUGGAAAGUUUCGGCGGUUGGGGAUGGACUCGCGGCUUAUCAGCUUGUUGGUGGGGUAGUGGCUUACCAAGGCUUUGACGGGUAGCCGGCCUGAGAGGGUGACCGGCCACAUUGGGACUGAGAUACGGCCCAGACUCCUACGGGAGGCAGCAGUGGGGAAUAUUGCACAAUGGGCGGAAGCCUGAUGCAGCAACGCCGCGUGCGGGAUGACGGCCUUCGGGUUGUAAACCGCUUUCGCCUGUGACGAAGCGUGAGUGACGGUAAUGGGUAAAGAAGCACCGGCUAACUACGUGCCAGCAGCCGCGGUGAUACGUAGGGUGCGAGCGUUGUCCGGAUUUAUUGGGCGUAAAGGGCUCGUAGGUGGUUGAUCGCGUCGGAAGUGUAAUCUUGGGGCUUAACCCUGAGCGUGCUUUCGAUACGGGUUGACUUGAGGAAGGUAGGGGAGAAUGGAAUUCCUGGUGGAGCGGUGGAAUGCGCAGAUAUCAGGAGGAACACCAGUGGCGAAGGCGGUUCUCUGGGCCUUUCCUGACGCUGAGGAGCGAAAGCGUGGGGAGCGAACAGGCUUAGAUACCCUGGUAGUCCACGCUGUAAACGGUGGGUACUAGGUGUGGGGUCCAUUCCACGGGUUCCGUGCCGUAGCUAACGCUUUAAGUACCCCGCCUGGGGAGUACGGCCGCAAGGCUAAAACUCAAAGGAAUUGACGGGGCCCCGCACAAGCGGCGGAGCAUGCGGAUUAAUUCGAUGCAACGCGUAGAACCUUACCUGGGUUUGACAUGGAUCGGGAGUGCUCAGAGAUGGGUGUGCCUCUUUUGGGGUCGGUUCACAGGUGGUGCAUGCCUGUCGUCAGCUCGUGUCGUGAGAUGUUGGGUUAAGUCCCGCAACGAGCGCAACCCUUGUUCACUGUUGCCAGCACGUUAUGGUGGGGACUCAGUGGAGACCGCCGGGGUCAACUCGGAGGAAGGUGGGGAUGACGUCAAGUCCUCAUGCCCCUUAUGUCCAGGGCUUCACGCAUGCUACAAUGGCUGGUACAGAGAGUGGCGAGCCUGUGAGGGUGAGCGAAUCUCGGAAAGCCGGUCUCAGUUCGGAUUGGGGUCAGCAACUCGACCUCAUGAAGUCGGAGUCGCUAGUAAUCGCAAAUCAGCAACGCUGCGGUGAAUACGUUCCCGGGGCC